rnacentral:rRNA from 1 species
ACAUACGCGUAGAGUUUGAUCAUGGCUCAGCCUGAACGCUGGCGGCGUGGCUAAGACAUGCAAGUCGCACGGUGUAGCAAUACACAGUGGCGAACGGGUGAGUAAUGAAUCGCUAAUGUACCCCGGACUCUGGGGAUAGCUAUCCGAAAGGAUAGGUAAUACCAGAUAAUAUGCAGCUAUCGCAUGAUAGUUGCCUCAAAGGUCCGCCGGUCUGGGAGCAGGCGAUUUCGUAUCAGCUAGUUGGUGAGGUAACGGCUCACCAAGGCUAUGACGCGUAGCCGGACUGAGAGGUUGGCCGGCCACAUUGGGACUGAGACACUGCCCAGACUCCUACGGGGGCUGGCAGUAACGAAUCUUCCGCAAUGCACGAA